GACAGAGGGUGCAAACGUUGUUCGGAAUUACUGGGCGUAAAGGGCGCGUAGGCGGCCUGCUAAGUCACACGUGAAAUCCCUCGGCUCAACCGGGGAACUGCGUGUGAUACUGGCGGGCUUGAAUUCGGGAGAGGGAUGUGGAAUUCCAGGUGUAGCGGUGAAAUGCGUAGAUAUCUGGAGGAACACCGGUGGCGAAGGCGGCAUCCUGGACCGAGAUUGACGCUGAGGCGCGAAAGCUAGGGUAGCAAACGGG
rnacentral:rRNA from 1 species